GACGAACGCUGGCGGCGUGCUUAACACAUGCAAGUCGAACGGAAAGGCCCUGCUUUUGUGGGGUGCUCGAGUGGCGAACGGGUGAGUAACACGUGAGUAACCUGCCCUUGACUUUGGGAUAACUUCAGGAAACUGGGGCUAAUACCGGAUAGGAGCUCCUGCUGCAUGGUGGGGGUUGGAAAGUUUCGGCGGUUGGGGAUGGACUCGCGGCUUAUCAGCUUGUUGGUGGGGUAGUGGCUUACCAAGGCUUUGACGGGUAGCCGGCCUGAGAGGGUGACCGGGUACGGUGGGAGGAGGGUGCGGCCGGGAGGCCUAGGGGGGGAAGCGGCGGGGAAUAUGGGACAAGGGGCGUAAGCGGGGAGGGGCGGGCGGGCGGUGGGGGUGGCGGCCCGCGGGUGGUAAACCGGUGUCGCGUGGGGGGAGGCGGGAGGGAAGGGAAGGGGUAAAGAAGCACCGGCUACAUCGGUGCCGGCAGCGGAGGUAAGAGCGAAGCCCACACGCCUGAGU
rnacentral:rRNA from 1 species